rnacentral:rRNA from 1 species
UACGUAGGGGGCUAGCGUUGUCCGGAUUUAUUGGGCGUAAAGAGCGUGUAGGCGGCCAGGUAGGUCUGCUGUGAAAACUCGAGGCUCAACCUUCGAAAGCCGAUGGAUACUGCCGGGCUAGAGUACGGAAGAGGCGAGUAGAAUUCCUGGUGUAGCGGUGGAAUGCGCAGAUAUCAGGAGGAAUACCCAUAGCGAAGGCAGCUCGCUGGGACGUUACUGACGCUGAGGCGCGAAAGCGUGGGGAGCGAACAGG